rnacentral:rRNA from 1 species
AGCGGAGGAAAAGAAACCAACAGGGAUUGCCUCAGUAACGGCGAGUGAAGCGGCAAAAGCUCAAAUUUGAAACCCUCGGGAUUGUAAUUUGAAGAUUUGGCAUUGGAGAAAGCUAACCCAAGUUGCUUGGAAUAGUACGUCAUAGAGGGUGACAACCCCGUCUGGCUAACCGUUCUCCAUGUAUUGCCUUAUCAAAGAGUCGAGUUGUUUGGGAAUGCAGCUCAAAGUGGGUGGUAAACUCCAUYUAAAGCUAAAUACUGGUGAGAGACCGAUAGCGAACAAGUACUGUGAAGGAAAGGUGAAAAGAACUUUGAAAAGAGAGUGAAAUAGUAUGUGAAAUUGUUGAUAGGGAAGGAAAUGAGUGGAGAGUGGCCGAGGUUUCAGCCGCCCCUCGUGGGCGGUGUACUGCCGACGCCGAGUCAUCGAUAGCGAGACGAGGGUUACAAAUGGGAGCGCCUUUCGGGCGUUCUCCCCUAACCCUCC